ensembl:lncRNA
CAAAACAAUGCAUAUGAUCCAUGAGAUCUUCCUUGUGAUAGAUAUACACAGUUUACAGCUGAUAUCUUAAAUCUCUAAAUUACAGAUUACUAAUGCACCAUCAUCUUCAAGUGGACAGGAUUUCUUUCUAAGGAGAAGAAAUGAGUGCAACUUAUCUACAGCCAGCAUUUUCACAACUGCAUCUUCAAACAGCUCCUAUUCCUCAGAUACUUUUAUGAAUGCUUGAUCAGCUACUUCAUAUUAACUAUAGUCUAGUUUAUUAAAUGUUAAACGAUGUUAGCUUUUCCAAAAGCAUUUCCUAAACUGCAAUUAUAUGAACUUCACUGAAAAAUUCACAGAUUUGAUAUUUAAUUAAGGAUACAUUUUAUAAUUAUAACAGUGGUGUGAUUGGAUGGGUCUAGAUUGGCUGUCCAUUUGGUAUUAUUAUAUUAUACACUGUUCUGUUCUGUCUGAUUUAUUUACAAAAUAAAAAAAUAAAACAAUAUAUUUAAUUGUUUCACUAACACCUCGUUACUUGAAAUUAAUAAUUAAAUAACUUGCUCUCUGGUAGCUUAUUCAAUUUCAUAGAUGCAGAGUUAAAGACCAUAAUGGUAAAUUAAAUGUUUAAAAAUAAUUUAUUUUAUUUUAUUCCCCCUCAGUAUGAGUCAUGAUGUAAUGUUAUUUUUUGGCCUGUACAACCUAGCUCCCACUGCUAAAUGUCAACCUCACUAACAUAAUAGACAUUCCUGGAAGUAUAGACACAAAUCUCUUGAAGUAUUAUUAUAUAAUUAUUUUAACUGAAGAAUUUGAAUGAAUUGUUUUUAAUAUUAAUUGCUAUUAAGUGCUAUUGGUGUUUUUUAUUAUUAUUGGUUAUAUUAAUUACUUACUUUACAGGAACUCCUAAUCCACAGCUGAUUUUAUUUGAAUUUGAAUGACCACACAGUCUGAAUUUUGCAUAUGUUUGCUGUGUGCCUUUCAUUUUGUUGAGGACACUUUUAGAUGAUCAUCAUUGGAUUAGUUACUGGUUUGACGUCAAUUUCUGAAUUUACUGUUAAGGAUGUAAAUUGUGGUGCUGCAGGUUUGUUUAUGUUGUUGCUCUGGUGCACUUCCUGAAAACAUUCCAAAAUAAAUUAAAAAAAUAAAUAAAUUAAAAAAAACUUUUCUAAACAC